rnacentral:rRNA from 1 species
GAUGAACGCUGGCGGCGUGCUUAACACAUGCAAGUCGAACGGAAAGGCCAGUGCUUGCACUGGUACUCGAGUGGCGAACGGGUGAGUAACACGUGGGUGAUCUGCCCUGCACUUCGGGAUAAGCCUGGGAAACUGGGUCUAAUACCGGAUAGGACAAUGGUUUGGAUGCCGUUGUGGAAAGUUUUUUCGGUGUGGGAUGAGCUCGCGGCCUAUCAGCUUGUUGGUGGGGUAAUGGCCUACCAAGGGGUCGACGGGUAGCCGGCCUGAGAGGGUGUACGGCGACAUUGGGACAGAGAUACGGCCCAGACUCCUACGGGAGGCAGCAGUGGGGAAUAUUGCACAAUGGGCGCAAGCCUGAGGCAGCGACGCCGCGUGGGGGAUGACGGCCUUCGGGUUGUAAACUCCUUUCGCUAGGGACGAAGCGUAUUUGUGACGGUACCUGGAGAAGAAGCACCGGCUAACUACGUG